rnacentral:rRNA from 1 species
AUUGAACGCUGGCGGCAGGCCUAACACAUGCAAGUCGAGCGGUAACACAGAGAGCUUGCUCUCGGGUGACGAGCGGCGGACGGGUGAGUAAUGUCUGGGAAACUGCCUGAUGGAGGGGGAUAACUACUGGAAACGGUAGCUAAUACCGCAUAACGUCGCAAGACCAAAGAGGGGGACCUUCGGGCCUCUUGCCAUCAGAUGUGCCCAGAUGGGAUUAGCUAGUAGGUGGGGUAACGGCUCACCUAGGCGACGAUCCCUAGCUGGUCUGAGAGGAUGACCAGCCACACUGGAACGGAGACACGGUCCAGACUCCUACGGGAGGCAGCAGUGGGGAAUAUUGCACAAUGGGCGCAAGCCUGAUGCGGCCAUGCCGCGUGUAUGAAGAAGGCCUUCGGGUUGUAAAGUACUUUCAGCGGGGAGGAAGGUGCUGAGGUUAAUAACCUCAGCAAUUGACGUUACCCGCAGAAGAAGCACCGGCUAACUCCGUGCCAGCCGCCGCAGUAA